GGGUCCGUAGCUCAGUUGGUUAGAGUACUACCUUGACAUGGUAGGGGUCGGCGAUUCGAGUUCGCCCGGACCCACCA
rnacentral:tRNA from 228 species